AUUGAACGCUGGCGGCAGGCCUAACACAUGCAAGUCGAACGGUAACAGGAAGAAGCUUGCUUCUUUGCUGACGAGUGGCGGACGGGUGAGUAAUGUCUGGGAAACUGCCUGAUGGAGGGGGAUAACUACUGGAAACGGUAGCUAAUACCGCAUAACGUCGCAAGACCAAAGAGGGGGACCUUCGGGCCUCUUGCCAUCGGAUGUGCCCAGAUGGGAUUAGCUAGUAGGUGGGGUAACGGCUCACCUAGGCGACGAUCCCUAGCUGGUCUGAGAGGAUGACCAGCCACACUGGAACUGAGACACGGUCCAGACUCCUACGGGAGGCAGUAGUGGGGAAUAUUGCACAAUGGGCGCAAGCCUGAUGCAGCCAUGCCGCGUGUAUGAAGAAGGCCUUCGGGUUGUAAAGUACUUUCAGCGGGGAGGAAGGGAGUAAAGUUAAUACCUUUGCUCAUUGACGUUACCCGCAGAAGAAGCACCGGCUAACUCCGUG
rnacentral:rRNA from 1 species